rnacentral:rRNA from 1 species
GCUAGGGGGUCAUCCCGACUUACCAACCCCAUGCAAACUCCGAAUACCGAGAAGUGCAAUUACGGGAGACAGACGGCGGGUGAUAACGUCCGUCGUCAAAAGGGAAACAACCCAGACCAUCAGCUAAGGUCCCAAAAUUAUGGCUCAGUGGAAAACGAUGUGGGAAGGCCCAGACAGCUAGGAGGUUGGCUUAGAAGCAGCCACCCUUUAAAGAAAGCGUAAUAGCUCACUAGUCGAGUCGGCCUGCGCGGAAGAUGUACCGGGGCUUAAGCCAUAUACCGAAGCUAUGGAUGCGUGUUUACACGCAUGGUAGAGGAGCGUUGUGUAAGUCUGUGAAGGUGUGUUGAGAAGCAUGCUGGAGAUAUCACAAGUGCGAAUGCUGACAUGAGUAACGAUAAAGGGGGUGAGAGGCCCCCUCGCCGAAAAUCCAAGGUUUCCUGCUCAACGUUAAUCGGAGCAGGGUGAGUCGGCCCCUAAGGCGAGGCAGAAAUGCGUAGUCGAUGGGAAACAGGUUAAUAUUCCUGUACUUGUUAUUACUGCGAUGGGAUGACGGAGAAGGUUAGGUCAGCCAACUGUUGGAUAUGUUGGUUUAACUGCGUAGGCGUGCUGAAUAGGAAAAUCCGUUUGGCUUAGCUGAGACAGGACGACGAGUGCCAUUAGGCGCGAAGUGAUUGAUACCCUGCUUCCAGGAAAAGUCUCUAAGCUUCAGGUAAUAACAAACCGUACCCCAAACCGACACAGGUGGAUGGGAUGAGAAUUCUAAGGCGCUUGAGAGAACUCUGGUGAAGGAACUAGGCAAAAUAGCACCGUAACUUCGGGAGAAGGUGUGCCCCUGUUAGGUGAAGUGACUUGCUCACGGAGCUGAAGGGGGUUGCAAUGACCAGGUGGCUGCGACUGUUUAUUAAAAACACAGCACUCUGCAAACUCGAAAGAGGACGUAUAGGGUGUGACGCCUGCCCGGUGCUGGAAGGUUAAUUGAUGAUGUUAGUUUCGACGAAGCAUUUGAUCGAAGCCCCAGUAAACGGCGGCCGUAACUAUAACGGUCCUAAGGUAGCGAAAUUCCUUGUCGGGUAAGUUCCGACCUGCACGAAUGGCGUAACGAUGGCCACACUGUCUCCACCAGAGACUCAGUGAAAUUGAAAUUGCGGUUAAGAUGCCGUAUACCCGCGGCUAGACGGAAAGACCCCGUGAACCUUUACUACAGCUUUGCACUGAACUUUGAACCUACUUGUGUAGGAUAGGUGGGAGACGUUGAAGCGAUGACGCUAGUUAUCGUGGAGUCAACCUUGAAAUACCACCCUGGUAUGUUUGGAGUUCUAACCUACGCCCAUUAUCUGGGCGAGGGACAGUGUAUGGUGGGUAGUUUGACUGGGGCGGUCUCCUCCCAAAUUGUAACGGAGGAGCACGAAGGUACACUAAGCAUGGUCGGACAUCAUGCGGUUAGUGCAAUGGCAAAAGUGUGCUUGACUGCGAGACAGACACGUCGAGCAGGUACGAAAGUAGGUCAUAGUGAUCCGGUGGUUCUGAAUGGAAGGGCCAUCGCUCAACGGAUAAAAGGUACUCCGGGGAUAACAGGCUGAUACCGCCCAAGAGUUCACAUCGACGGCGGUGUUUGGCACCUCGAUGUCGGCUCAUCACAUCCUGGGGCUGUAGCCGGUCCCAAGGGUAUGGCUGUUCGCCAUUUAAAGUGGUACGCGAGCUGGGUUUAGAACGUCGUGAGACAGUUCGGUCCCUAUCUGCCGUGGGCGUUUGAGAAUUGAGAGGAGCUGCUCCUAGUACGAGAGGACCGGAGUGGACGUACCCCUGGUGUUCGGGUUGUUGUGCCAACAGCAUUGCCCGGUAGCUAUGUACGGACGGGAUAACCGCUGAAAGCAUCUAAGCGGGAAGCCCCCCUCAAGAUAAGUUCUCACUGGGAUUUAAUCCCCUAAAGGGCCGUGGAAGACUACCACGUUGAUAGGCUGGGUGUGGAAGUGCAGUAAUGUAUGGAGCUAACCAGUACUAAUUGCCCGUGAGGCUUGACCAU